rnacentral:rRNA from 1 species
CCAUUCCGCGUGAGUGAAGAAGGCCUUCGGGUUGUAAAGCUCUUUCGCAAGGGAAGAAAACUUAUGAUCGAAUAAAUCAUGAGGUUGACGGUACCUUGAUAAGAAGCACCGGCUAACUACGUGCCAGCAGCCGCGGUAAUACGUAGGGUGCGAGCGUUAAUCGGAAUUACUGGGCGUAAAGCGUGCGCAGGCGGUUUUGUAAGUCGGAUGUGAAAUCCCCGGGCUCAACCUGGGAACUGCGUUCGAAACUGCAAGGCUAGAGUGUGUCAGAGGGGGGUAGAAUUCCACGUGUAGCAGUGAAAUGCGUAGAGAUGUGGAGGAAUACCAAUGGCGAAGGCAGNCCCCUGGGAUAACACUGACGCUCAUGCACGAAAGCGUGGGGAGCAAACAGGAUUAGAUACCCUGGUAGUCCACGCCCUAAACGAUGUCAACUAGUCGUUGGUAGAGUAAAAUCUAUGAGUAACGUAGCUAACGCGUGAAGUUGAACGNCUGGGGAGUACGGUCGCAAGAUUAAAACUCAAAGGAAUUGACGGGGGCCGCACAAGCGGGGGAUUAUGUGGAUUAA